UCCUUCUCGACUCCAGCAGGACUUCUGGUAUCUGAUCCACUUGCUAUGGGAAUGAUGGCAGUCUCUCACUUUCAAAAUCUCCUAUCACCUCCUAUCCUUCCAUUCGUUGUCUGCCCUUCUAUCUGGUUCCAAGAGCUUCUCUCCUAUCGCUGUCCUCCUCAACUUGUAUCCUCCAUGACCCUACAGCCAGAUGUACUGGAAAUCACCAGAGUCAUGAUGAAACUGAACCCGCAAAAAUCCCCAGGGCCAGAUGGACUUACUUCAGGUUUUUUCAAAGCAGGAUGGGAGAUUGUUGGACAAGAGGUCAUAACUUCGGUUCGAACCUUUUUCUCUUCAUGCUUUCUCCCCUCAGCUACAAACGCAACUAUUCUCAGUCUUGUCCCAAAGAGACCAGGAGCAACGGCAGUUAGUGAUUUCAGACCUAUUUCCUGUUGCAACACAAUAUACAAACUCAUCUCAAAGCUGCUUGUUCAUCGCCUAAAACCAAUGCUUCCUGAUCUAAUUCUUCCUAAUCAAACGGCAUUUGUUCAGGGGAGACUUCUAAUAGAGAACACAGUGCUUGCUUCUGAGAUAGUUCAUGGCUACCAUCGUGAUAAAGGUCCUAAACGUAUGGUAUUGAAAGUUGACAUAGCUAAGGCUUUUGAUACUAUCAACUGGGAUUUCAUUCUCAACUGUCUAGCAAGUAUUGGAGUACCUAACCUGUUUACUCGAUGGCUGAGGGCUUGUAUCUGCACUCCUUCAUUCUCCGUGGGCUACAACGGCACAGUGCAAGGGUACUUCAAGAGCAAGCGAGGGUUACGGCAGGGAGACCCCUUGUCUCCGUAUCUCUUCGUGAUCGCCAUGAACUGCCUGUCGAUCCUCCUUGAUAAGGCUGCAGAAGAAGGAAAGUUUCGUUAUCAUCACAAAUGUGUACAAGCUAAAUUAACCCAUUUAUGCUUUGCAGAUGAUCUCCUGAUAUUCACAGAGGGAACUCUAAACUCGGUUCAGGGAGUACUAGAGGUUCUGAGGUCUUUUGAGACUAAGUCUGGUUUAGCUCUAAGCAUAUCUAAGACCAGUUUCUUUACGUCUGGAGUACCUACUGAUGAAAUUGAGCAAAUAAAAAGGGAAACAGGUCUAUCUCAUGCUUCUCUGCCUAUCAGGUACCUCGGAAUCCCCCUGGUAACUAAAAAGCUAUCGGUCUCUAAUUGUGAACCCCUGCUCCUAAGUGUUAAGGCAAAGCUAGAUUCCUGGAGCGCUAGAACAUUGUCAUUUGCAGGAAGAUUAUUGCUAAUCAAUACAGUUAUAUCGGGAAUAUCAAACUUUUGGUGUGCUACAUUUACUAUCCCCAAAAGCUGUAUUAAAACUAUAAAUUCUCUAUGCGGUGCCUAUCUAUGGAAAGGUACCACAGAAGGAACACAUUCAGCUCGAGUAGCUUGGGAGGAGAUUACACAUUCAAAGGAAGAAGGAGGUUUGGCAGUAAGGGAUUUAGUAACCUGGAACAAGGCUUGCGUGAUGAAACUCAUUUGGCUGCUCUUCUUUAGGUCUGGAUCAAUAUGGGUAGCUUGGUUCAAGCAGGAGAUCCUCUCAGGAUGCACUUCGAACUUCUGGAUACUGAAAGAAAGUCAAAAAUAUUCUUGGACAAUCAAUCGGAUGCUCAGGCUACGCGAUGAGAUUUUUCCAUGGAUAAAAACGAGGAUUAGAGAUGGUGCUACCUGUCGGUUUUGGAGUGAUAACUGGAGUCCCUUUGGCAACCUGUCUGUCUAUCUGAACCUCGCUCCUGCAGCGCGAAUGGGUAUUCCAAAGACGGCUACUAUCUCUGACCUCAAUCACCACGGAAUUUGGAGGCUCCCCCCUGCUCGUUCAGACAACCAGGUUACCCUCUAUGCCUUUCUAUCAACUAUAAAUCUUAGAGAAGGAGAUGACUAUGUGGAAUGGGUUAUGAAUGAUAAGAUAACGAAGACUUUCUCUACCGGUCGAGUGUAUACAGAACUAAAGCAUCAUAAUCCUCUGGUUCCUUGGUGCAAAUUGGUAUGGAUCUCAUGGGGUAUUCCUAAACAUUGUUUCUUAACAUGGCUGUUCAUCAAAGAUAGAUGUCCCACCAGAGAUCGUCUCAUAAACUGGGGACUACCAACUUCCCCGAAUUGUCUGCUAUGUAAUGCCCCGGCUGAAUCUAGAGACCAUAUCUUCUUUGAAUGCCCUUUUGCCUGGUCUGUCUGGUCAAGAAUGUCAGCCCGAUGCAACCUAGCUCCGUCUCGCACCUGGAAUCAAACUAUCUCUGAACUCCAGCAACUGAAUCGACCUCGCCCUAAUAAGCUACUCUGUCUCCUCACUUGGCAAUGUGUGAUCUACCUCAUCUGGACUGAGAGAAACAACCGCCUCCACCGCAAUACAUUCCGAUCACCGGACUCAAUCUCUUCUCUGGUCAUCUCUACCAUCAGAACAAAAAUUGCCUCCAUCAGAUUAUCCUCACCACCUCUCUCAUCAGCGCUCUUCAAUAUUUGGAUGUCUUCACCAUGAAGAACUCCCUCUUUCAGCAUUCCGGGCUCAGGUUCGCACUUCAUCUCUCUCAGCUGGUCUCGCCGAAUCUCUGCAUGACUCAUAACGAAGAUGUAUCGACAAUUCCCCUCUUUCUCGACUGGUUUCUUAAAAUGGGCCUCCUAAAAGGAUUUCUUUUUGUUGUCUUUAACUAAUGGGCUAGACCCAAGAAACAAAUGCCUGGCUGGGCUGUAGUCUUUAUGUACGUUUUCUCUUUUAAGUUAAUAGCAAGCCCUUUAUCAAAAAAAAACUUAUGUAGCAUAAGAAUAUUAAUAUAAAGGUCAACUCCAAUCAUCUCGGUUAGUAGGCAAGAAUGCCUUGAUUCUAGUCUUGAACAGCUAACGGCCGAUAUUUAAAGAUUUAGUCGCUCCAUUUAGGUUCAUCCGUCCAUCAAAUCAAAAGAACCUAAGAGCACCAUUAACCAAGGGUGUUUAAGAGGUGCUUAGAUUUUUUUAAUUAAAAAAAAGGAAAGAGAAGAAGAAAAAGAAAGAUGAGUGCUUAAUUAGACAUCACAAGCAACUAUUACUUGCACUACUCGCGAGUCCUACUGACACGUGACAGUCCACGAUUGGUUCGUUUUUUUAUAAUUAGAGAAAAAACCAAAAAAAAAAAAAAUUAAACACCCCAAAUGGUGCUCUAAGAGCAUCAUUAAUGAUUGAAAGUUGCUUAAAUUUUUUUUGUCAGAAUAAAAAAAAAUUAAAAAAUACACCAAUCGCAGACCACCACGUAUUGGUGGAGCCCGCAAACAGUGCAACCAACAAAGAAAACUGGGUGCUUAUUUGCAUGCAGAAGGGAUGUUGCUUUUGUUUUUGGUGGGUCCCCAGGCCAUAAGCAACCCUUUUUUAGAGGGAUAAAGAUGCUCUAAUGGGUUUAUUAAUAAAUAAUAACGAUGGACCCAAAAUAAAGUUAUGGGAAAAGAGUGAAAAAUAAAUAAAUUUCAGGAUAUCCAGUGAGUGCAGCACUCAUCAGUGGUGUUCGGAUAUCCGUUCAGGUUCGGAUCGGGUAUUUUGGAUUUCCGGGUAUUUCGGUAUAGGGAUAAAGAACAUGUUCAUGUAUUUCUGUACUUCAGGUCGGGUUCAAGUACUUUUUACUCGGGCUCAGUUAUUUUGAAUCGGGUUCAGAUAUUUAGAUUUUAAAAGAAAAAAAAUAAAUUUUUCUUUUUUUAAGUUUCUUGUAUUUAAAAAUAUAGAUUUCACUUAACUGAUUUUUUUUUAUUUUUUAUAGAUUGAAUGAUUAAUAGGUUUGGAGAUAAUAUAUAUUUCAAAAAUAAAUAUAUAUUAAUUUUGGUAUUGUUUUUAAACUUUGAAUGUAACUAUUGUCAAUACAUGAAACAAAAAGUUUAGCAUGCAUUUUAAAUGAAUAUCAAGUCAUUUUCUCCAUAAUUAUAUAUAUACUUAUGAACUUAAAGUAUGUGUAACAUCAAUAUAAAUAUUUUUUUAAAAAAUGAGAGAUGUAAGCUAGAAAUAUAAGGGUAAGUAUAUAUAUGUUUGGUUAUCUUCGGAUAUCCAUUCGGGUACGGAUAUUACUCGUUCGGGUUCGGAUAUCCAAUCUCUCCUAACUUAAUACCCGUUCGGGUAUUUUGCUACUUCGGUUCGGAUUUCGGUUUGGAUUUUUCGGGUCGUUUUCGGAUGCGGCUUCGGAUAUCGGGUAAAGUGCCCACCCCUAUUCAUCACUAUGUAUCUCUAGCAUAUGCAGGAUGAACCGAAACAUAAUAUUGAUGCUUUUGAGAGGAAAUUUAUGUCGGUGACGUUUGGUGUUUUUUUCCGCUAAGAAUGUUAAUUUUAUUGAACCCCACCCUAAGAAGUCCCCAUUAAACAUGCUCUAAGGUACAACUACAAAAGGCAACUAACCUAUACAAAAGAUACCCUGGCAAAAAAGAAGCAAAAAAACAGGGUAUCAAUCAGCUUGACAAAACAAAUAACUCCAGGAACAAGCUCAUGGAGAGACAGAAGAGCAGCUAAAAGGGUCAUAUUUUCAUAUGAGCCAAAGUGUCAUAAGGGAGCUGAACAAGCUCAUGGAGAGACGUUUGAUGUUUUGCUCAUGCAUUACAUUGUCGAAGUUCAAGUUUGCAAGCAAAUGUCAUUACGUAGGUUACUAUAGCUUUUAAACUCUUAAGAGAUUUGAGCAAGCCUUAGAGAUUGGUUUUACGUCUUUUACUUUUACCUCUUUAAACCAAGUAACUUCACUUUCCUAGAGCCACGUGUUACAGCCUGCCUCUCUAGCAGCGACCCAUUCAUUGUUCAUACGGUUAUGCAUGAAAUGCUUCCUCAGAUUCCCUCCAAAUAAUUUACAAGCGAUCAAAAGAUUUUGUUAAAUAUACUUUUUAGUGUACAUACCUCCAAUUUUUUUUGUUACCUAUACUUUUAGUGUAACUUUUCUAUUUUUAGAUUAUCUAUAUAUAUGUAGAAAAAUAGAAAUAACAAUGUUCUUCGAAAAUAAUACUUGUUGCCUUCGUUGACAAAAAAAAAAUACUUGUUGCCUUCCCUUAAUCUCCAAAUUUUCAUUAUUCUAGAUCCAAUUUCCAUUCUUCUAUUUGAUCACCAGAUAUCUUCCAAAUUUCCAUAUAAAAAGAAACUUUUUAUUCUUUACAAAGAACUCAAAUUUCUAUUUUUAUGGAGGUUGAUGAGCAAGCCCGUAGUUAUAUAUAAACUUGUGUAAUAAUAUUCUUUUCUCUUCGAUCACCUUCUCUUCAGUUUUCACCGUGCAACUUUUUAGCUCUCUUAAAAGAUGGUUCGUUUAUUUUUUUUAGCAAACCUAUCGAGCAAAAUAUAAAUGCAACUAUACAAAUCCAUUGAAGUGUUUUUUCUUAUGAGACAACUAAAGCUUUCGUUUUAUUUCAUUGUUUGUAGUCGUCGAAAAUUGUUUUUAAGUAUCGGGGUUUUAACGAAGAAACCAGGCGGAAAGCACUUCGAAGUCUGUCUCAUCGUACCGGUACACCAACAUCCCAAUAAACGGCCUUACACCAUUGAGACACUUAGAACAAACUGCUGGCUUAACUGAACCAACUUAAACCAUGUGUUUUAUAUAUAUAGAGAGAGAGAUAUAUAAAGAUGUUACUUUUAGUUAGGUUUUCAAUUUUGAACAAUGUGUAACAAUGUUUUCUUCUUUGUUUUAUAGGAUAUGAGUAUGCGGAUUUUAAUUUAGACCUAGACGUUCUAACCGUGACGGGACAAAACAUGAAUCGAAGUAAAAUCCUGAAGAAAUUGAAGAAGAUUUUUUACUCUAUCGACAUUCUUCAGACGUUGUGUGUCCCCCCUAAUUAGUAUGGUUUUUAAAGCAAGUUCUAUUGAUAUUUUGAUAAUUAGUGUUGCUUUUUGUAUGCUUCUCUUAUUAAUAAUGGUGUGUUUUUGUUAUAUUUUUCGUUUUGCGCAUUAGAACCUAUACAAACUAUUGGGUGGAAGGCCAAAUCAGUCCAGUUCUUAUUUUAGACUAAGGCCUUAAAAUUUUAUAACAGUGAAAGUUAUGGGUUUUAUGCUCAUGUUUGUCUCCCAGACCUAGAGUCAGUUUUUUUUUUUUUUUAACUAAAAGAUAAAAAAAUAUACUAAAAGUAAUUUGAAUUCGAGCCACAAAAAAAUUAACAUUUUAUAUAAUCACUAGACUAUCAACACUUGAUUUUUUUUUUCAACACUUGAUAAUUUUAGUGAUUUUUUGAAAAGAAAAAUAUUUAUUAAUUCAUUGCAAAUUAUACUGAUCUUUACCAAAAGAAAUUAAGGGUUUGAUUUAAGAUUUUGUGAUUGCUUUUGGAAUGAAUAGAUGGGCAUUAUCCUUUCGAAUGGUGGGCUUUGAAGUCUAAGAUGAGUUAGACUUUGUGACAAUUAUUUUGACGUGUAAACACCAUGGGUAUGUCCAGAGCAUGCAAUUUACACAUGGAACGACAUAGAUGAGUUUCAACAUUCAAUUACUGCCAUGGGUUUUUGACCGGAAGGGUAUUUGAUAUAUAUGCAGUUUUAUCAAGUACACCUAAUUUGAUUUGUCCGAUAGUUUUUACAGCUCUUUUGUAAUCGACUGGGACAUAUAUCUCCAAUAUUAUUUUUUAUUUUUUGGUGCACACAAUAUUUUUCUUUUCAAAAUCACAUUUCUAAUGUUUUUCCUUUCAAAAUCACAGCUCUAAUAAUAUCGGUGAUGACCUUAUAAGUUAUAAUACGAUGAUUACGCCUGCCGAUGCCCAAAUAUUAAUCGAAGGGAUUCAAUCAGAACGAGGGAAUCAAUCAGAACGAGUGUGCUCAUUGAUAUAUUUAUUUUCACAUUUUCUAUAAAGCGUAAAAAUCGUUCCCCCCCCCCCCCCCCCAAUUAAAUAUGUCGUUAUCUCCCCUCACUCACUCGACAUAAUUGACCGGUCUCUUGUCGCAAUGUUUUGCAGCCCAACUAUUAAUAGAUGUGCUGUGGUCAUACACUCUUAACUAUCAAAAACAUCUAUCCUCACAACAAACCGAACAAGCUCAAGUAACGAAAUCAAAGCAUGGGAAGCCUCAAAUCUCUGGUUAUCUUGGCUUUGCUUUUUUCCCUCUCUGUCGCUGUUUUUGCCGACACAUCCAACGAUGCUUCUACACCUAAAGAUGAAGUGAAGCCAAGUGAAGCGACCGAUGCCAUAGGGCAACAACAACCCCAGGCUGCGGAGGCCGAAGCCGAGGCCAACGAUGUUGUUGUUGAACCUCAGCAGCGGGUCCGUUGUGGCUGUAUAAACGGGUGUUGCGGAAUCUGCAAUUAUGGACGGUGCAGCUACUGUUGUCCCAGACAACAAUCCGAGGAGGCCGUGGAAACCGAAGCUAUUGAUGCCAACGUUGUUGAACCUCAGCAAGGGGGCCGUUGUGGCUGUAGAUACAGAUGUUGCGGAAUCUGCCGUUAUGGACGGUGCAGCUACUGUUGUCCCAGACAACAAUCCGAGGAGGCCGUGGAAACCGAAGC